rnacentral:piRNA from 1 species
UGCUUCACAGAUGUGUAACCCCAGCACU